GUUGUUGUAGCUUAAUUAAAGCAAAACGCUGAAGAUGUUUAGAUGGGCCCUAGAAAGCCCCAACAACA
rnacentral:tRNA from 1 species